rnacentral:rRNA from 1 species
AUGGCACCGUCUCCAUGUUUGAGGUGCUUGGGCCAGCGCGUGUGCGGGCAUGUGGCUCUUCUAUCGUCGGCUGCGUGGGUUGGAGAGGUUUUGGAUGCUCCGGAUGAGAAUCUACCCGACUUUGUCGGUGCCGACGACGCGUCGCCCAUGGGCGUCGUUCUCCUCGCGGGAGGGUCAUUGUGGAGCUCUCUCCCCCCUCCUCCAUCCCUAGUCAUGUCCUUCGUGCGGAAGCUCAAGACUCCACAUGAGUCGGGUAACGGCGUCGCUUCAACGUCGCUCCUCCCUUGGGGGCAUCACCUUGAAGGUCAUGGUCUUCUACGCGCUUCCCCAUGGGCUGGACAAGCACAACACCGCGGUCAGUAG